AGUUGCUAGUAAUCGCGGAUCAGCAUGCCGCGGUGAAUACGUUCCCGGGCCUUGUACACACCGCCCGUCACACCAUGAGAGUUGGGAAUACCCGAAGCCUGUGAGCCAACAGUUUCUGAGGCAGCAGUCGAAGGUAGAAUCAAUGAUUGGGGUGAAGUCGUAACAAGGUACC
rnacentral:rRNA from 1 species